CAGAGAUAGGUUUAAAGGAGGAAGACUCUCCCACCUGCCCUGCUUCCCUCACUAUGGGGUGUCAGCAAAGGCUGUUCCCUCUGCCUGGAACACACUCUUCCCCAGUGAUUUCCACAAGGGAUUCCAAAAGCAGUUGGCCGCAUUAAAUAAGAGUCAGGAAUGAAAACAAUAGCAAGGAACUGCUGGAGGACGAAAAGAAUAAUGAAGAGGGAACAGCCAGAGAUGUCAAAUGAGCUCUGAAAAUAGAUGUGGCUUAAAGAGCACGGAGAGGCUGGCUUUAUCCAAACAGGCAGAUUCAACCAGAUCCACAGAACAAAACACAAUCUGUUCCCAGAUGCAUUCAGCAUCUCAGCAGAGGACCCCAACCAGUGCUCUUCAUCUGUUUCGACAGCAAACAUACCUUCCGUUUGCUCAGACCCAAACCUUGAAACCAUCUCUAUAGUUUCCAAAGGCUGCUACAAGAAAUUAUCAAAAAUCGGGUGAGUUCAAACAACACAGUCUCCCAGUUCUGGAGGCAAGGAGUUUAAAAUGAAGAAGCCAGCAGGGUCGAUCCUGAAUGAAGUUUCCAAAGGAGA
rnacentral:lncRNA from 1 species